rnacentral:rRNA from 1 species
AUUGAACGCUGGCGGCAGGCUUAACACAUGCAAGUCGAGCGGUAGCACAAGAGAGCUUGCUCUCUGGGUGACGAGCGGCGGACGGGUGAGUAAUGUCUGGGAAACUGCCUGAUGGAGGGGGAUAACUACUGGAAACGGUAGCUAAUACCGCAUAACGUCGCAAGACCAAAGAGGGGGACCUUCGGGCCUCUUGCCAUCAGAUGUGCCCAGAUGGGAUUAGCUAGUAGGUGGGGUAAAGGCUCACCUAGGCGACGAUCCCUAGCUGGUCUGAGAGGAUGACCAGCCACACUGGAACUGAGACACGGUCCAGACUCCUACGGGAGGCAGCAGUGGGGAAUAUUGCACAAUGGGCGCAAGCCUGAUGCAGCCAUGCCGCGUGUGUGAAGAAGGCCUUCGGGUUGUAAAGCACUUUCAGCGAGGAGGAAGGUGGUGAACUUAAUACGUUCAUCAAUUGACGUUACUCGCAGAAGAAGCACCGGCUAACUCCGUG